CAGCAGCCGCGGUAAUACGUAGGUGGCCAGCGUUGUCCGGAAUUAUUGGGCGUAAAGGGCUCGCAGGCGGUUUCUUAAGUCUGAUGUGAAAGCCCCCGGCUCAACCGGGGAGGGUCAUUGGAAACUGGGAAACUUGAGUGCAGAAGAGGAGAGUGGAAUUCCACGUGUAGCGGUGAAAUGCGUAGAGAUGUGGAGGAACACCAGUGGCGAAGGCGACUCUCUGGUCUGUAACUGACGCUGAGGAGCGAAAGCGUGGGGAGCAAACAGGAUUAGAUACCCCAGUAGUCCCUGUCUCUUAUAC
rnacentral:rRNA from 1 species